AGAAGGAGAAGGAGGAGAAGAAAUGGAAGGAAAGAGAUGAUUUUGAUUUUGAUUUCGAUUAGAAAGAAUUCUUUUUUUUGUAUGUUUUGAUUUCCCUGUUGUAUCAGCCUUUUCUUG
rnacentral:ribozyme from 13 species